UAUAGAUUAGGCUUGAUUUUAAACAAUGAAAUAAGGGUGGGGUUUUUUUGUUCCUUAUAUACAGGUGUCUAAAGAAGACUGGGCUAUGGCUUUAUCCUGCUAGAAAUAUGAGGCAAAUGUGUAGUAUAGAGUCCUGAGGCUCUCUGAGGGGGAAGGGAGGGAGAGGCCUAAACAUGCUAGUGUCACAAACAAAUCUCAGUUGAACAAGAUCCUACACUGCUAAAAAGAAAGAGGUCAAGGGGCUGGUAGAGGAGCUGGAGUGUGGAAAAGACUGGAAGCUGUGGCACCAGGGCUUUCUUGCACGUCGUGUACCCCUCCAGAGCUUUACCAUGGGGGAAUAGCCGCUGAGGAGCUAGAUAAGGAGUGAUAACACAGGGAAGAAAAUAAAAAUGUGAGAAAAGCAAGCAGAAGAAAAGAUUUCCCAGCUGCAAAAUACUCAGUAACACUCAAAAUUGACAUUGGCUCUCUGCAGCCUCAAAUCCUGAGAUACUGGGAAGAGACAGCUAGGAGAAUCCCUAGUCAUUGACUGGGGGGUUUAAUUUAUUCUUUACAGCUAGACAGUGCUCCCGUUCCAGGCUUGCGGGCACGGCAGCCAACUCUCCCCCACCGCAGCCAAUCAAAGGGGCGCUGCCGAAGCUGGGCUGCUCCUGUGAUAAAAGUGUAGGAAGCUCAUGGCUGCAGAGUAAUGCAGACAAAGCACGAGUGAGAGGGAGACAAAAAGAAUGGAGUCCCAGAGGAUGUAAUCCACCCUGUUAAAGGAAACGCCGUAACCUCUACAGCUGUGUUUAUGCUGCUUCAUGCAAUAGGCACCAGCCUCUCAUCCCUCGGGAGAUUUUUACAGCAUUAAUUCGUUCUGCACGAACCCAGCCAGCAAGGCUCCUCUUCAGCAGCGAGCUUUUCCAUCCCUCCAUCUCCCCCCGUUUUUGAGAGCCCUGCCAGCAGGAACUGCACCCCUCUGGCUGACCUUCCAUUGCUCUGGAUCAAAUGUGUCCUGUACCCAAUGAAGCAGAUCCCGAAGUGCCACGAAUGGACCCCAGGAUUCUUAUUUUCCUCCUGUACGUGAUGAUCCUCCACGAGCUGGUCAGUGGCUGGAUGGAGUAUCAAAAGCAAGUAGCCAAGCCGAAGAAGCAAGCAGGUCCAGUUUGGUCUUCUAGCAAUGCUUCCAGAUCAAACCACCCCAGCUUCUCCAGGCCUCUGGUCCAUUCUGUGCGCCGGGAGCGGUACAGGGACUGGAGAAAACCAGGAAGAAUCAUCCGGAAGGCAUGA
ensembl:lncRNA